UAAUAAAAUGAGGAAUGCCAGAGGU
rnacentral:piRNA from 1 species